rnacentral:lncRNA from 1 species
AUGGCAUUGCCCCGAGAUCAUCCGGCUGAUAAACGCCCACAACUGGGCCUAAUUUUGAGAGGAUUCUUUUUUUUUUUUUUUUGGGGGGGGGGACAGUUGCUGGAGAGAAUACACGUUGGAGGGGUUCUCCAGGCACCAACAAAACAUGGACCCACAUCUAGGUGCUGGCUGGUUAGCAGAUUUCAGAGGACACUUUCUGUCUCUUGUCAGAAAGUAGCUGAAUGGCUUCAUAGCUGCUUAAUCUGCGGGAUUCUCCGGCAGUCUAAUUCGAUAGAGUGGGGGGAGCCACACCGAGUCACCUCUGGGGUAAGCUGGGGCACGUGGGUCGGUCUCACACAUCCCAUGGGCCUCGUGUUUCCCCGGGUCUGGGCAGAGAUGGCUCUGGCUAGCGGGAGGGAAGGCAGGUGUGUUCCGCUCCGGGGCACAGGGCGCAUUCAUUAGGCCACAGCGUGUGAGUUCCUCCCGUGUCCCAGGCGUGUGUGAGGUGCCCAGGAAAUCACGCUUACCUGACAAACCAGUGGGUAAAUGGACACUUGCAGUUCCACGUCGUGAUACCUACGCGGCGACACAUCCGGGCGCCAGGAAACCUGGAGGAGGGGCUUGGAGGUCCCUGCCAGGCUGCUCCCAAUGGAUGUCGCGGGGCUGUCAUGACGCAGAAGCAGCUAUUUCCCUUCAGAGAGGCGGAACGGCAGUGCCAUCAGGGGGUGUGGCCGGUUUUGGUCACACACUGAUCCCUCAGCGACGUCUGCGUGCAGACCAGGGUGCCUGCAGAGCGCGCUGGGGGAAGCUCGGUGGGGCCGCUUCUGCGUCCUUGCCCCAGGCUUGUGAACGGAGUUCCCCGCUUUUGUUCCCCCGCCACUGACACAGUGCGGGGUUGCCUCCAGGUUGGUUUAAUGACGUGCUGUUUUGCUACUGUGAGCACUCCCUACUUGAGGUGAACGAGAGGAAUGGCUGAACAAUUGCAGAUCCGGCUGUUGCAAAGGUCACGGCACUACGGCACACUGUUUUAAUUCCUGAAUGUUUCAGGCGUUGUAAGUCCUUUCGAGGCUCCAUUCUACUGACAAGCGCUGAAAGGGGGCUGGGAAAGGGCACCGAUUAUUUCAUCUGCUUGUAAACAUGACGGUGAGAGGAGGAGAUGGUGCCCAGUCUAUCCAGCCUUCUGCAGCCUUCACUGGGAGGCCUGUUUUGCACACACCUUCCUGUAAGAAAGCUAACAGGGGUGACCUUGAGGGGUUUACCACAGAGAUAAAGGCGAAACCAGGCUUACUAAAUGAGUGAGCUUUGAACUUUCUCUUCUCCUUAUAUAUUUUCCUACUUCUCAUCUACCAUCUACUCAGUGACCGAUUUACUCUCAGGAAGCUUUCAACUAGAACACUCGUAACUAACAUUGGCCCAGAGUUAGCACUUGACAAAAUGCUCGCGGCAGACACUGUUGAUUAUC